rnacentral:lncRNA from 1 species
CGGGCCCCAUGCUGGUGGCAGGGGGGCACCCACCCGGCCGUGGCAGCCCGCGGGGACCAGCAGUGAAUCACGCCGCUGGUAUCUGCAGGCUGAUAACCUCCCUGCUCCUCCCACGGCUUCGCGCCCCUCGGGGCUAUGCAAAAGUAUAACAGAAUAAGUGAAGAAGGAAAAAAAAAAGAAAACAAAAAACAAAACACAAAUCGAGGAGGAAAACAGCAGGCUGAGAGGAAGCAAGUGCCCCGGGUGCAGCGGGGAGGAGCCCUGCGUCCUCGUUUUGUAAUGCUCCUGUGGGCACCCGUGCAGCUGUCCCUGGGCUGUGGGACAGCAGUGGUGGCACUGCCACAGCACGGCAGGAUCCAUGUCCUCGGGUGGGACAGUGCCUGCCCUCGCCACCCCAGGCGUGGCGGUGGCCAGGCUGGCUUUGCCCCUCGAGGAAGAACUGGCUGGAUGCGGUGCUUGCCCCGGAGCUGGCUGCGUUUUGGGGGCUCGGGAGCAGAGGAGGGUGGUGGAGGUGAUGGAGAACAGUCAUUGGAGCCAGAUCCUGCCCGGGGGAAUCGCUACCCGGGAACGCCCAGCCCCAUCCAAAUUCCAUUCCUGCUCCCAGCAGAGCCGUGAAGCAAAGCCACGAGGGAACGGCUCCCUGUCCCCCCCGUCCCGUCCUGUCCCCACACUGGGCUGACACGGGCAUGGCCACCAGCACCCACCAGCAGGGCUGCCACUGGUGGCACCUGGAGCGUGCUGGGCUCUUGACAUUGGUCUCCGGGAAGUCACCGGAGAGCAACGGCUAGCUGCUGGGCUACUGGGCAGACCCCUCCUGGCCUUGGGGUGGGCAGCUUGCCCCCACGCUGCCCCUGCUUGGGUUAGGAGGCAGGUGGCCGUGCCCUGAGCCCCUUCCCCAGAGCCUGCCCGGCACCACGCUGCAACCUGCGCGGCACAGCGGUGCUCCGAGGCUUUCCUGGAGUUCGGCCCCAACAUGUCGUGCUUGGCACCGGCACCCGUGCAACC